rnacentral:rRNA from 1 species
GACGAACGCUGGCGGCGUGCCUAAUACAUGCAAGUAGAACGCUGAAGAGAGGAGCUUGCUCUUCUUGGAUGAGUUGCGAACGGGUGAGUAACGCGUAGGUAACCUGCCUUGUAGCGGGGGAUAACUAUUGGAAACGAUAGCUAAUACCGCAUAACAAUGGAUGACACAUGUCAUUUAUUUGAAAGGGGCAAUUGCUCCACUACAAGAUGGACCUGCGUUGUAUUAGCUAGUAGGUAAGGUAAUGGCUCACCUAGGCGACGAUACAUAGCCGACCUGAGAGGGUGAUCGGCCACACUGGGACUGAGACACGGCCCAGACUCCUACGGGAGGCAGCAGUAGGGAAUCUUCGGCAAUGGGGCAACCCUGACCGAGCAACGCCGCGUGAGUGAAGAAGGUUUUCGGAUCGUAAAGCUCUGUUGUAAGUCAAGAACGGGUGUGAGAGUGGAAAGUUCACACUGUGACGGUAGCUUACCAGAAAGGGACGGCUAACUACGUG